UACGGAGGGUGCGAGCGUUGUCCGGAAUCAUUGGGCGUAAAGGGCGCGUAGGUGGCCCGGUCAGUCAGUGGUGAAAGCGCGGGGCUCAACCCCGCGUCGGCCAUUGAUACUGCCGCGGCUCGAGCACUGUAGAGGCAGGCGGAAUUCCGGGUGUAGCGGUGGAAUGCGUAGAGAUCCGGAAGAACACCGGUGGCGAAGGCGGCCUGCUGGGCAGUGGCUGACGCUGAGGCGCGACAGCGUGGGGAGCAAACAGG
rnacentral:rRNA from 1 species